CCACAUUAAACAGCUAGCUUCUAACCAACAAUGAAUAGCAUCAAAGCCGUGAUUGUGUGCUGCCUCCUGGUGGCCGUCUCCGCCGGUGUAGACCGAAGGGGAGGUGGACGAGGAUCCAACAGAUUCCUUCCUGGAGGCUUCGGUGGCGUCCACGGAGGCGGUCUCCUCGGCGGCGG